GUGCAGCACAUAUGCUAACAUAUGCUAAAAUUGGAAUGAUACAAAGAUUAGCAUGUUCCCUGCACAAGGGGGACAUGCAAAUUCAUGAAGUAUUCAAUAUUUUU
ensembl:snRNA U6 U6 spliceosomal RNA